GAUGAACGCUGGCGGCGCGCCUAACACAUGCAAGUCGAACGGCACCCCUCCUCGGAGGGAAGCGAGUGGCGAACGGCUGAGUAACACGUGGAGAACCUGCCCCCUCCCCCGGGAUAGCCGCCCGAAAGGACGGGUAAUACCGGAUACCCCGGGGUGCCGCAUGGCACCCCGGCUAAAGCCCCGACGGGGGGGGAUGGCUCCGCGGCCCAUCAGGUAGACGGCGGGGUGGCGUCCCACCGUGCCGACAACGGGUAGCCGGGUUGAGGGACCGACCGGCCAGAUUGGGACUGAGACACGGCCCAGACUCCGACGGGAGGCAGCAGUGGGGAAUCUUGCGCAAUGGGGGGAACCCUGACGAAGCGACGCCGCGGGAGGGACGGAGGCCUUCGGGUCGUAAACCGCUUUCAGGAGGGAAGAGGCAAGACUGUACCUGCAGAAGAAGCCCCGGCUAACUACGUG
rnacentral:rRNA from 1 species